GGGUUGUGAGGUUAAGCGACUAAGCGUACACGGUGGAUGCCCUGGCAGUCAGAGGCGAUGAAGGACGUGCUAAUCUGCGAUAAGCGUCGGUGAGGUGAUAUGAACCGUUAUAACCGGCGAUUUCCGAAUGGGGAAACCCAGUGUGAUUCGUCACACUAUCAUUAACUGAAUCCAUAGGUUAAUGAGGCGAACCGGGGGAACUGAAACAUCUAAGUACCCCGAGGAAAAGAAAUCAACCGAGAUUCCCCCAGUAGCGGCGAGCGAACGGGGAGCAGCCCAGAGCCUGAAUCAGUGUGUGUGUUAGUGGAAGCGUCUGGAAAGGCGCGCGAUACAGGGUGACAGCCCCGUACACAAAAAUGCACAUACUGUGAGCUCGAUGAGUAGGGCGGGACACGUGGUAUCCUGUCUGAAUAUGGGGGGACCAUCCUCCAAGGCUAAAUACUCCUGACUGACCGAUAGUGAACCAGUACCGUGAGGGAAAGGCGAAAAGAACCCCGGCGAGGGGAGUGAAAAAGAACCUGAAACCGUGUACGUACAAGCAGUGGGAGCACGCUUCGGCGUGUGACUGCGUACCUUUUGUAUAAUGGGUCAGCGACUUAUAUUCUGUAGCAAGGUUAACCGAAUAGGGGAGCCGAAGGGAAACCGAGUCUUAACUGGGCGUUAAGUUGCAGGGUAUAGACCCGAAACCCGGUGAUCUAGCCAUGGGCAGGUUGAAGGUUGGGUAACACUAACUGGAGGACCGAACCGACUAAUGUUGAAAAAUUAGCGGAUGACUUGUGGCUGGGGGUGAAAGGCCAAUCAAACCGGGAGAUAGCUGGUUCUCCCCGAAAGCUAUUUAGGUAGCGCCUCGUGAAUUCAUCUCCGGGGGUAGAGCACUGUUUCGGCAAGGGGGUCAUCCCGACUUACCAACCCGAUGCAAACUGCGAAUACCGGAGAAUGUUAUCACGGGAGACACACGGCGGGUGCUAACGUCCGUCGUGAAGAGGGAAACAACCCAGACCGCCAGCUAAGGUCCCAAAGUCAUGGUUAAGUGGGAAACGAUGUGGGAAGGCCCAGACAGCCAGGAUGUUGGCUUAGAAGCAGCCAUCAUUUAAAGAAAGCGUAAUAGCUCACUGGUCGAGUCGGCCUGCGCGGAAGAUGUAACGGGGCUAAACCAUGCACCGAAGCUGCGGCAGCGACACUAUGUGUUGUUGGGUAGGGGAGCGUUCUGUAAGCCUGCGAAGGUGUACUGUGAGGUAUGCUGGAGGUAUCAGAAGUGCGAAUGCUGACAUAAGUAACGAUAAAGCGGGUGAAAAGCCCGCUCGCCGGAAGACCAAGGGUUCCUGUCCAACGUUAAUCGGGGCAGGGUGAGUCGACCCCUAAGGCGAGGCCGAAAGGCGUAGUCGAUGGGAAACAGGUUAAUAUUCCUGUACUUGGUGUUACUGCGAAGGGGGGACGGAGAAGGCUAUGUUGGCCGGGCGACGGUUGUCCCGGUUUAAGCGUGUAGGCUGGUUUUCCAGGCAAAUCCGGAAAAUCAAGGCUGAGGCGUGAUGACGAGGCACUACGGUGCUGAAGCAACAAAUGCCCUGCUUCCAGGAAAAGCCUCUAAGCAUCAGGUAACAUCAAAUCGUACCCCAAACCGACACAGGUGGUCAGGUAGAGAAUACCAAGGCGCUUGAGAGAACUCGGGUGAAGGAACUAGGCAAAAUGGUGCCGUAACUUCGGGAGAAGGCACGCUGAUAUGUAGGUGAAGUCCCUCGCGGAUGGAGCUGAAAUCAGUCGAAGAUACCAGCUGGCUGCAACUGUUUAUUAAAAACACAGCACUGUGCAAACACGAAAGUGGACGUAUACGGUGUGACGCCUGCCCGGUGCCGGAAGGUUAAUUGAUGGGGUCAGCGCAAGCGAAGCUCUUGAUCGAAGCCCCGGUAAACGGCGGCCGUAACUAUAACGGUCCUAAGGUAGCGAAAUUCCUUGUCGGGUAAGUUCCGACCUGCACGAAUGGCGUAAUGAUGGCCAGGCUGUCUCCACCCGAGACUCAGUGAAAUUGAACUCGCUGUGAAGAUGCAGUGUACCCGCGGCAAGACGGAAAGACCCCGUGAACCUUUACUAUAGCUUGACACUGAACAUUGAGCCUUGAUGUGUAGGAUAGGUGGGAGGCUUUGAAGUGUGGACGCCAGUCUGCAUGGAGCCGGCCUUGAAAUACCACCCUUUAAUGUUUGAUGUUCUAACGUAGACCCGUGAUCCGGGUUGCGGACAGUGUCUGGUGGGUAGUUUGACUGGGGCGGUCUCCUCCUAAAGAGUAACGGAGGAGCACGAAGGUUGGCUAAUCCUGGUCGGACAUCAGGAGGUUAGUGCAAUGGCAUAAGCCAGCUUGACUGCGAGCGUGACGGCGCGAGCAGGUGCGAAAGCAGGUCAUAGUGAUCCGGUGGUUCUGAAUGGAAGGGCCAUCGCUCAACGGAUAAAAGGUACUCCGGGGAUAACAGGCUGAUACCGCCCAAGAGUUCAUAUCGACGGCGGUGUUUGGCACCUCGAUGUCGGCUCAUCACAUCCUGGGGCUGAAGUAGGUCCCAAGGGUAUGGCUGUUCGCCAUUUAAAGUGGUACGCGAGCUGGGUUUAGAACGUCGUGAGACAGUUCGGUCCCUAUCUGCCGUGGGCGCUGGAGAACUGAGGGGGGCUGCUCCUAGUACGAGAGGACCGGAGUGGACGCAUCACUGGUGUUCGGGUUGUCAUGCCAAUGGCACUGCCCGGUAGCUAAAUGCGGAAGAGAUAAGUGCUGAAAGCAUCUAAGCACGAAACUUGCCCCGAGAUGAGUUCUCCCUGACCCUUUAAGGGUCCUGAAGGAACGUUGAAGACGACGACGUUGAUAGGCCGGGUGUGUAAGCGCAGCGAUGCGUUGAGCUAACCGGUACUAAUGAACCGUGAGGCUUAACCUUACAACGCCGAAG
rnacentral:rRNA from 1 species